rnacentral:rRNA from 1 species
AAAUUGAAGAGUUUGAUCAUGGCUCAGAUUGAACGCUGGCGGCAGGCCUAACACAUGCAAGUCGAACGGUAACAGGAAGCAGCUUGCUGCUUUGCUGACGAGUGGCGGACGGGUGAGUAAUGUCUGGGAAACUGCCCGAUGGAGGGGGAUAACUACUGGAAACGGUGGCUAAUACCGCAUAACGUCGCAAGACCAAAGAGGGGGACCUUCGGGCCUCUUGCCAUCAGAUGUGCCCAGAUGGGAUUAGCUUGUUGGUGAGGUAACGGCUCACCAAGGCGACGAUCCCUAGCUGGUCUGAGAGGAUGACCAGCCACACUGGAACUGAGACACGGUCCAGACUCCUACGGGAGGCAGCAGUGGGGAAUAUUGCACAAUGGGCGCAAGCCUGAUGCAGCCAUGCCGCGUGUAUGAAGAAGGCCUUCGGGUUGUAAAGUACUUUCAGCGGGGAGGAAGGUGUUGUGGUUAAUAACCGCAGCAAUUGACGUUACCCGCAGAAGAAGCACCGGCUAACUCCGUGCCAGCAGCCGCGGUAAUACGGAGGGUGCAAGCGUUAAUCGGAAUUACUGGGCGUAAAGCGCACGCAGGCGGUCUGUCAAGUCGGAUGUGAAAUCCCCGGGCUCAACCUGGGAACUGCAUUCGAAACUGGCAGGCUUGAGUCUUGUAGAGGGGGGUAGAAUUCCAGGUGUAGCGGUGAAAUGCGUAGAGAUCUGGAGGAAUACCGGUGGCGAAGGCGGCCCCCUGGACAAAGACUGACGCUCAGGUGCGAAAGCGUGGGGAGCAAACAGGAUUAGAUACCCUGGUAGUCCACGCCGUAAACGAUGUCUACUUGGAGGUUGUGCCCUUGAGGCGUGGCUUCCGGAGCUAACGCGUUAAGUAGACCGCCUGGGGAGUACGGCCGCAAGGUUAAAACUCAAAUGAAUUGACGGGGGCCCGCACAAGCGGUGGAGCAUGUGGUUUAAUUCGAUGCAACGCGAAGAACCUUACCUGGUCUUGACAUCCACGGAAGUUUUCAGAGAUGAGAAUGUGCCUUCGGGAACCGUGAGACAGGUGCUGCAUGGCUGUCGUCAGCUCGUGUUGUGAAAUGUUGGGUUAAGUCCCGCAACGAGCGCAACCCUUAUCCUUUGUUGCCAGCGGUCCGGCCGGGAACUCAAAGGAGACUGCCAGUGAUAAACUGGAGGAAGGUGGGGAUGACGUCAAGUCAUCAUGGCCCUUACGACCAGGGCUACACACGUGCUACAAUGGCGCAUACAAAGAGAAGCGACCUCGCGAGAGCAAGCGGACCUCAUAAAGUGCGUCGUAGUCCGGAUUGGAGUCUGCAACUCGACUCCAUGAAGUCGGAAUCGCUAGUAAUCGUGGAUCAGAAUGCCACGGUGAAUACGUUCCCGGGCCUUGUACACACCGCCCGUCACACCAUGGGAGUGGGUUGCAAAAGAAGUAGGUAGCUUAACCUUCGGGAGGGCGCUUACCACUUUGUGAUUCAUGACUGGGGUGAAGUCGUAACAAGGUAACCGUAGGGGAACCUGCGGUUGGA